UUAACUCAACUGACUAUAUCUAAUAUAACAUUUAAACUGUAUCUAAUAUCCUAACUACCUACCAAUACUAUAUAUGAAGGUGUUGUAAUUGUUUUCUAAUUCGUGGGGUACCUCUAACAUUACAAGUGUAUACUAUGUCUCUCAAAAGGGCUGCAUUGCAGCGACAUGUCUUGUUGAAGAUUCUUGAGUUCCUUUCCAGCCGGAUAGUAUAUGCACACUCAGCAACUACCAUUUUGAAGAUGGCUGCUUGACAUGUUCGACCCUUGGCUUUGCUUACUAGCCACUACAUUUUCUAGUUCCAGUCAUUGAGGUGAGGAUAAGUCUCCUUAAGCCAGUGCAUUGUUCUCUCCCAUAAUUCAACAGUGACUGGGCAGAAUAGUAGCAAAUGGUCUCUGGUUUCUGGGUGAUUUUGGCAUAAGGUACAUUGCUGAUCAACAGUUCCAGUCAUUGAGGUGAGGAUAAGUCUCCUUAAGCCAGUGCAUUGUUCUCUCCCAUAAUUCAACAGUGACUGGGCAGAAUAGUAGCAAAUGGUCUCUGGUUUCUGGGUGAUUUUGGCAUAAGGUACAUUGGUGAUCAACACUCAUUCCCCAGCUGUGCAAUUUGUCUUUUUUUGGAAGUCUAUCUUGUAAGAACAGCCAUAGAUUGAAGGUUGCCUUUGGCCUUGCAUAGUUUU
rnacentral:lncRNA from 1 species